rnacentral:rRNA from 1 species
GAUGAACGCUAGCGGCAGGCUUAAUACAUGCAAGUCGAGGGGCAGCACAGAUAGCAAUAUUGGGUGGCGACCGGCAAACGGGUGCGGAACACGUACACAACCUUCCUUUUAGCGUGGGAUAGCCCAGAGAAAUUUGGAUUAAUACCACAUAGUAUAUUGGAGUGGCAUCACUUUGAUAUUAAAGAUUUAUCGCUAAAAGAUGGGUGUGCGUAUGAUUAGGUAGUUGGUAGAGGUAACGGCUCACCAAGCCUUCGAUCAUUAACUGGUGUGAGAGCACGACCAGUAACACGGGCACUGAGACACGGGCCCGACUCCUACGGGAGGCAGCAGUAAGGAAUAUUGGUCAAUGGACGGAAGUCUGAACCAGCCAUGCCGCGUGAAGGAUGACGGCCCUCUGGGUUGUAAACUUCUUUUAUGUGGGACGAAAAAGGGCCAUUUUUGGUCAACUGACGGUACCAUAGGAAUAAGCACCGGCUAACUCCGUGCCAGCCGCCGCCGUAA